rnacentral:rRNA from 1 species
ACUCCUACGGGAGGCAGCAGUGGGGAAUAUUGCACAAUGGGGGAAACCCUGAUGCAGCCAUGCCGCGUGUGUGAAGAAGGCCUUCGGGUUGUAAAGCACUUUCAGUCGUGAGGAAGGUAGUGUAGUUAAUAGCUGCAUUAUUUGACGUUAGCGACAGAAGAAAGCACCGGCUAACUCCGUGCCAGCAGCCGCGGUAAUACGGAGGGUGCGAGCGUUAAUCGGAAUUACUGGGCGUAAAGCGCAUGCAGGUGGUUUGUUAAGUCAGAUGUGAAAGCCCGGGGCUCAACCUCGGAAUAGCAUUUGAAACUGGCAGACUAGAGUACUGUAGAGGGGGGUAGAAUUUCAGGUGUAGCGGUGAAAUGCGUAGAGAUCUGAAGGAAUACCGGUGGCGAAGGCGGCCCCCUGGACAGAUACUGACACUCAGAUGCGAAAGCGU